UCCCGAUGAUGUAAUCAUGGCAUUCAGGUGAUCUGUCAGACUGGGGAUUAUGAUCACUUGCCCUCUGUUUGAUGGGUAAUCUUGGUAGUGUUAUAGUUAUAUUUCACUAUUGUAAGGGCCCACCUACAGUAACGUUGACACUGCUUCUACAACCUAAGCCCUCCUCAAAGUAAUGGGAUGAGGCAGGUUGGAGACGUCAAACAAUGUGUGGAUGUCUGUUUUGUGUAUGUGUGAUGUAUGACUGUUUUUGUAGCAGUUGGCAAGAGGAUGUAUUGUCCCUUUGAGUGGUUUGGCAGAUAUGAUCGACAAUCUUUGGUAAUCUGAGGGCA